AUGUGCCGCGGCGCCGUGACCCGGCCUCACAGGCACGACCAGGGUGACAACAGCUCCCCGACGCCGCCGCCCUCCGCAAGGAGCGACGACAGCUCGAAGCUCUGCGGCACGGCGUGCGCUGAGCGACGCGCCGCGGGGGCACCGCCGCCUCAGCCCGUCCACGUCCCCAUCGCUGCCGCCGGCCGGCCACACGACCUCACGCUCGUCCAGCUCGAAGCACGCGCCGUCGUGGCCCGCCUCCGGCUGCUUCAGCAGGCCAAGAAACCGAAACGCCCCCCGCGCCCGGCGACCUCGGCAUCUCCAUCGACCGUCUCAGCAAGCGCUACCUCGCCCGGCUCCCGCAUUGCUGAUGCAAGCCAAGAAACAGGGAGUGCCGGCAGUAGUACUCUGAAUCCAUCAAUGCAACUGAAUCCAAACAUGUGA
rnacentral:rRNA from 1 species